rnacentral:rRNA from 1 species
UACGAAGGGGGCUAGCGUUGUUCGGAAUUACUGGGCGUAAAGCGCACGUAGGCGGAUUGUUAAGUCGGGGGUGAAAUCCUGGGGCUCAACCUCAGAACUGCCUUCGAUACUGGCAAUCUCGAGUCCGGGAGAGGUGAGAGGAAUUCCGAGUGUAGAGGUGAAAUUCGUAGAUAUUCGGAGGAACACCAGUGGCGAAGGCGGCUCACUGGCCCGGUACUGACGCUGAGGUGCGAAAGCGUGGGGAGCAAAC